AUUCCUACGGGAGGCAGCAGUGGGGAAUAUUGCACAAUGGGGGAAACCCUGAUGCAGCCAUGCCGCGUGUGUGAAGAAGGCCUUCGGGUUGUAAAGCACUUUCAGUUGUGAGGAAAAGUUAGUAGUUAAUACCUGCUAGCCGUGACGUUAACAACAGAAGAAGCACCGGCUAACUCCGUGCCAGCAGCCGCGGUAAUACGGAGGGUGCGAGCGUUAAUCGGAAUUACUGGGCGUAAAGCGCACGCAGGCGGUUUGUUAAGCUAGAUGUGAAAGCCCCGGGCUCAACCUGGGAUGGUCAUUUAGAACUGGCAGACUAGAGUCUUGGAGAGGGGAGUGGAAUUCCAGGUGUAGCGGUGAAAUGCGUAGAUAUCUGGAGGAACAUCAGUGGCGAAGGCGACUCCCUGGCCAAAGACUGACGCUCAUGUGCGAAAGUGUGGGUAGCGAACAGGAUUAGAUACCCUGGUAGUCCACACCGUAAACGCUGUCUACUAGCUGUGUGUGUCUUUAAGACGUGCGUAGCGAAGCUAACGCGCUAAGUAGACCGCCUGGGGAGUACGGCCGCAAGGUUAAAACUCAAAGGAAUUGACGGAAU
rnacentral:rRNA from 1 species